rnacentral:rRNA from 1 species
ACUCGAGUGGCGAACGGGUGAGUAACGCGUGGGUGAUCUGCCCUGCACUUCGGGAUAAGCCUGGGAAACUGGGUCUAAUACCGGAUAGGAGCCAUUUUUAGUGUGAUGGUUGGAAAGUUUUUCGGUGUAGGAUGAGCUCGCGGCCUAUCAGCUUGUUGGUGGGGUAAUGGCCUACCAAGGCGGCGACGGGUAGCCGGCCUGAGAGGGUGGACGGCCACAUUGGGACUGAGAUACGGCCAAG